AGCUCCAAUAGCGUAUAUUAAAGUUGUUGCAGUUAAAAAGCUCGUAGUUGGAUUCUGACACCUAGGGGGGCCGUCCGCCGGGAGGCGUGCAUGGCUUCUCUGGGUUCCGCUUCCGGCUGGUCCUACCUCCUCUUAACUGAGUGGGUAGGCGCCUCCGGAUCGUUUACUUUGAAAAAAUUAGAGUGUUUAAAGCAGGCCUUGUGCCCUGAAUAUAUUAGCAUGGGAUAAUGGAAUAGGACCCCUGUCCUGCCGUUGGCUUUGAGGUCAGGGGUAAUGAUUAAUAGCGACAGUUGGGGGUGUUCAUAUUUAAUUGUCAGAGGUGAAAUUCUUGGAUUUAUGAAAGAUGAACAACAGCGAAAGCAUUCACCACGGACGCUCGCA
rnacentral:rRNA from 1 species